GUGUUCUGGGGCAGGGUUUGGUUGACAUCGUGUCUCGGCAGUGAUGAGCAUCCCAGACAACUUGGCCAAGCACCAAGACAACCUGCAGGUGGGUCCCAUCAUAGCCAACAUGAUGGCGAAGGUCAACGGCAGGUCCUAUUGAGCGUCAUGAGCUCACCGUGCCGCAACCGCGGUGUUGGUGACGCCCAUCCUCGUGGACGACCUCUUCGUUAUUGAAGCAAGGGAGCAUAGGAUGCUGAUGUCUGAUUCAUGACUAUUGGGUGGCCUUCUUCGACUUUCUAGGUUUUUGCUGUUGCAUGGUUUCGGCCCUCGUCCACCUGACCUGCUGCUGGAUUGGUGAGCAAGCUGAUGCUGCUGCCAUCCACCACACCAGGGACCUCUACAAGGCCGGCGAGGGCAGCUUCAACCUCGAAGCCAGGGGCGGCAAGAUCUGCCUCGUCUGCACAGUGCCUCAUUUUGGGAACAAGGCCGCAAAAAGCUGAUACGAGAAAUUAACUGUUAUCUCGACUCUGCCUUCUUUUGUCACUAUGGCGAUGCUGGCAAUUUACAGCCAUCUC